rnacentral:rRNA from 2 species
GAAACCGGUGACUGGGGCUAAGUCGUAACAAGGUAGCCGUACCGGAAGGUGUGGCUGGAACACCUCCUUUUUGG